GCAUGGUUACUGUCUUACCAGAAGAGAAGGCACUGAGAAGGUGCACUGAGCCUGGGAGCUCUAUUAGGGUCCCAGAGACAAUGGAGGAUAGCAUUUAGGCAGGAUGGGGGUUCCAUGGGGUGGCAUUGGCCUCCAACUCUGCAGAGGAAGAAUCUCAGGAGGGAGGGAGGGAAGUAAGCAAGUGGGCCCCAGCGCCUGCGCCCGUAGCAGCUGGACAUUGGAAGAAUGAAGGGGCCUUGAAUUUGGCUAUUAGUGAUCUGGGUAUGGGGGUUUCAGAUCCGUGCUAGGGACACAGGGGAUCCAUGGUACUUUCUAAAAGUCCAGGUGUCGUUAUUUCCGUACUGUGUGUUAUAACUGAGCAGUGCCCAGUUAUGGGCAUCAUCCUGCCAGUGCCGGGCCCUCAGAGCAUGGGGGAAGACAGCAGCGUGCGCAUCUGAGGUGGAGGAUGGAGGAGUGACCGCAGCACCAGGCAUAGACACUCCUGGAGCCCUCCAAGGACUCAGGCGUCAGCAAGAGACCAGGGCUGAUGGCAGCACCUCUGCCUUUUGGGGGCUGUCUCUGGAUGGUCUCAGUCAGCCCAGGGUCACCUUUAUUCUGAGAUGCUUCCCUUGGCCACCACCCCCUCCAGGGAGCUGAGUGAGGUCCUAGGACCCAGGUCUUAUAAAGGGACUUCCUGGUACUCACAUCAGAGAACCAGGAUAGAGGAGGUCUGGGAGCCAAGGAGCCAGGGCCCCGGGCGCUGGACAUGCGUCCGUGAGGGACUCUUGCUCUUUGUUUGCUACCACUGGCAAAACAAGGCUUUUUCUCCAUCUGUGAGCUUCAGUCUCUGGAGGUUUCUGAGAGAGAUGGGAUAUUUAUGUGCCUUGAGAACUCUGAAAAGAGACUCCUGCCCAGGGGUCAGGACUAGACACAGCUCCUCUCCACCUUCAGACCCCGAUGCUUUAGGGCCGUGGGUAUGAACAGGUCAUGUGUAUGUGAGUGCACAUUUAAUAACCGAGUCAGCCCACUGCACUGCAGGGAGCUCUGUGGGUGUCCAAUUCGGAAAACGUUUUAGAAUGAGAAACUCCAGUCUGCUUGGGGAAACUGCCAUUGCAAUUACUUUCUUUUUAUUGCAUAAAACCAACUUUGAAAUUUUAGAGUUGAUGAAGCUUUCCAUUUGCCCCAGAUACUCUCACUCUGCAAAGCAGGGGGCCUUGGUUUCCCACCCUACCACCUUGGUGGGCGCUCUGAAGACACUGCUGAGAGGCUAGGGCCACAGAGGAGAAGGUGCUAUCUGGGCCUUCUGGGACUUUGAGGUGUGGAUUCCAGCCCACCUUCUGCUCAGUCCACACUGCCCGUGAUAGCUACAUCAAGGGACCUUCACUGGUUCAGGCCCAAAAUGAAGUAUCGUUUCUAUAACAGAUACCUUCUAGCGCCAUCUUUACUCUUCUGAGAUGAAAGUCAUAGCGAAUAUAACCUCCUUAAGCACAUACUGAAAACUAAAUUUAACACCCUAACACUCAUGUCAAAGGAAAAAUAAAAAGAAAGUAAUUCACAAUAAAGUCAUAUGAAUUUUGAGAUGAAAAUCUUUGGUCCGGCCCACAGUAGAAAACAGAAAUCAUCCCUCAGGUUUAAAAAAUACUCAUUAAUUUUUUAUUGUGGUGAAAUACAUGUAACAUAAAAUUUAGCAUUUUAAUCAUUUUUAAGUGUACUGUUCAGUGGUAGUAAGGACAUUUGCAUUGCUGUGCAACCAUCAUGACUAUCUAGUUUCAGAAAUUUGUCGUCAUCCCAAAGGGAAACCUUAUACCCCCUGAAGUCACUUCCUGUCCACACCUCCCUGCCAAACCCCUGGCACUCACUCAUCCCCUCCUGUCCCUGGGGAUGUGCCUACUGUGGACAUUUUACAUAAAUGGCAUCACAAAGUAUGUGCUUUUUGUGGCUGGCUCCUGUGACGUGGUGUGUGAUGUUUUCGAGCCGGACGUGUUACAGCCCAUGUGGGAACUUCAGUACUGCUCCUGGCAGAGUAAUAUUCCACAGCUGGGAUAGAGCACAGUUUGUUUAUUCAUUCCUCUCUCGAUGGAGACUUGGGUUGUUCCCACCUUUGGCCUCGGUGAAUGGUGAUGCUGUGAUCAUGGGUGUGCCUGUGUUUGUCUGAACACCUGCUUUCAGUUGUUUGGGGCGUUACCCAGGAGAGGGGUUGCUAGGUCCUGUGGCACCUCUGUAACUUGCUGGGGAACUUCCCCACUGAUGCUUGAAAGUCAUUUGGUAUCACCAGGUCUCUGGGGUGUUUCAUUUGUCCCCAGAAGCUCUGCCUAAGCUGCACUGGGAGUGGGCUGAUCUGUGUGACCCUAACGGCCUGAGUGCUGGCUCAGGGGAACUGCUAAUUUAUGGAAUCCUAGGUAGGUGGUGGUAGAAUUCUCUCCCUCUGUCAGGGUGGAGCAGUUACGACAAAUCCACAGUCUCAGGGACAUAAAGCAACAUGGUCUUUUUCCAAUCAUGCCACAUGUCCACUGCAUUGUGGCUUGACAUGGGCCUCAUGCCAGGACCUGGGAUGAGGGGUGAGCCCUCUCUGUGCACCCAAGGCUGCCGACACUCCCGAGAGCACUGCCGGCUCCCACGGCUUCUGCCAGAAGUCACCGGCUGCGUCGCUCCCCACAGUUCAUCAGCCUGGUGGACCUGUGGCCACACUUAUGUUCAGCGCAGCCCAUGUGGCCCUGAAGGUGGACAGCUUUUGUAUCCGUACUGAGGCAUGGGAUAAUAAACGCCACAGUGAUUAAAAGAGGAAAUGUUGGCCAGGCGCGGUGGCUCAUGCCUGUAAUCCCAACACUUUGAGAGGCCACGGUGGGUGGAUCACGAGGUCAGGAGUUCAAGACUAGCCUGGCCAAUAUGAUGAAACCUCAUCUCUACUAAAAAAUACAAAAAUUAGCCGGGCAUGGUGGCACGUGCCUGUAGUCCCAGCUACUCGGGAGGCUGAGGCAGGAGAAUCACUGGAACUGGGGAGACAGAGGUUUCAGUGAGCCAAGAUCAUACCAUUUCACUCCAGCCUAGGCAACAGAGUGAGACUCCGUCAAAAAAAAAAAGAUGAAGUGUUAGUGGAAGAGGCCAGUAAGGUCACGUGAUGGGGGGUGAUCCAAAAAGAAAACCAAUGCAUGUGAACAGGCAGGCAUUGAAGCCUGUACAGAAGCCCCAUUGAUGAGGUAUUUGGGGCGGGGCAGUGUGUGAGGCAGGCGGGGGUCCCCCUUCUGUGGUUUGCAGCUUUUCACAUCUGCACGUAAGGUUACAGUUGACUUACAAAACAUGGGGUAUUGCUGGCAUUUCUCAUGUUGGAGGGCUUCGUUGUGUGGACGUAUCAUUUCCCUUUUAAAUAUGCCUUUUUAGAAGAAAUGCCACCACCUAGCCAUGGACUUCAGUGUUUCCCAGUGGAAAGAAUUUUCAAUUUUGCAAUCUAAAAAAUGGGAUUCCCCCCUUCCGCCUUCUGUUGCAGUUUUGCCGGCGCCUACCCGUUCUCUUAGAAUCAGGGUUAGACAUGAAGACAGCACGACUGAGGGAGGGUGGGCCUGGGAGGGGAAGGCUCUUCCCUGGGUUGGUCUUGAUAUGUCCGUCAGAACCCUGGCUAAUGAUUUCCUAACACAUUACGCUGUAAAAAACUGCAAGUUGUGCGGCUCUUUAAGGCUAUGCCCUCCACGUGGAAGGGGCUGGUCAAUCAGUCCUGUUUCAGUUUUGGGAGAAGACUCCUAAAACCAUUUCUGGGAGCAUUUCAGCUGGGAGGAGUGUUGGGGCAUCCUUGUCAUGCCACCCUGCCUCCUUUUACACACUGUCUCGAAAAGAUUAGUGUGUGUGUGUGAAUGAGCUGAAGUCUGGAGGCCUCAAGCUCACCGUGAAGCAGUCUUUGCCUGUUAUUUGUUUUCACUCCUAGGAAUGCAAGGGAGCUUCCAGAACCUAUCAGGCACACCUGUGUGAUGUCGCGCUUUAUUCCUAGAAGAUCACAUCAAGAUAAAUCAGUAGCUUAUGGGGACUUUACCUUCUAGUGCCCAGAUAGAAAAUGAAAGAAGGCAUGUUUUAAAAUAGGUAAUGUUCUAGCAUGUCAUGAGUUUUCACCUGUUCUUAUUUUUUAAGUUAAUUAAUUAAUUUAUCAUUUGAGAUAGGAUCUCACUCUGUCACCCAGGCUGCAGUGUAGUUGGUGUGAUCACAGCUCACUGCAUCCUUGACCUCCUGGGCUCAAUUGAUCCUCUCACCUCAGCCUCCAGAGUAGUUAGGACGACAGGCAUGUGCCACCAUGCCUGGAUCAUUUUUUUUUUUUUUUGUAUUUUUCUGUAGAGACUGGGUUUCAUCAUGUUGCCCAGGCUGGUCUGGAACUCCUGGGCUCAAAAGAUCCACCCUCCUCAGUCUCUCAAAGUGGUGGGAUUACAGGCGUGAGCCACUGUGCCCGGCCCCUGUUUUUUCUAUGUUUUAAUUAACUUAUUUAUCAUCGUAUUUAUUUAAGGUGUUUAACAUGAUAUUUUGUUUGUUAUAUCUAUACAUAGGGAGAGGAUCACUACAGUCAAACCAAUGGACAUAUCCACCACUUUACCUAGUUACUUUUGUGUAAGAGCACCUAAGGUCUACUGUCUUAGUCAAUAUUGCAUCCUGAAGAUUUGCUCAGGGAGCGGAUUCCGUCUCUUUUAGAACAGAGGUUGGACACUUUGUCUUGCAUGUUGGAGUCACCUGGGGAGCUUUAAAAAUGCAGACGCUAAAAAUGUGGGUACCUGCUUCUACCUCCAGAGGGUGGCAGAUUGAGUUGGCCCUGGUGGGGCCUGGAUGUCAGACUUGCUUUAAAAAUGCUCCCCAAAUAAUGCAGUGCUAAUUCAGGGUUGAGACCUGCUGUGAUUCUUGAGCUUGGUUGUGUGUUGGAAACACUAGGGAGUUUUUAAAAAUACUGACACCUAGGUCUCACCGCUGGAGGUUCUGACUUCACAGGUGAGGCCCGAGCUUUAGGAUUUUAGUGAUAAAAGGUGGACAAUGGCCUUUGAGAACCACUGUUGUAUAUUUGCAGUUCUCAACUUAGGUGCGUGUCCCAGCCUCCAGGAGAGCUGGCCCUUGGCUCAUUGAGGCUGGAACGUGCCGCAGGGUGGUUCUAAGAUUUGUGACCCUGCUGUGGAAUUUAGAGGACAGCCAACAGUCACGUAUUGGUUAUCAGAGGCAGAGGCAGGCGACCCCAUGGGCUGCCUUCCACCUGGGUGCUGGCUUUAUUUCACCAGGGCAGAGUGGGCUAUGUGACCCCACAGUGGAGAGAAUGCAGUGACAUGAAGUGUGUGAGUGGGCAGCAUGGUGGGUGUCCGCUCCUGAACACUUGACCCAUCUUCCUUCCCCUCCCUCAUCCCACUUCCCAGCAGAGCCUCAGGGCCUGGGAUCUGCCAGGCCGUGCGCUGGCAAAGAUCAGUCUCCAAGAGCAGUCUGAAUCACAGAAUCACAGCUCAGGGUCAACAUAAGUACUGACUUACCUAUCAGGAUGUGUUAUUUUACACUCUCAAUUAGUUUACAUAAUUGGGAGUUCAGUGUAUUUGGACAAGGUGGAAAGUUGCCGAAGAGCUUUGUGGGUGUUUUAAACAAAAUUUAAAAAACAUUUUCUGGCUAAGCGAUCUGAGAAGCCCUCUCCUGCACUUCAGACUGCUCAGGGGUGAAUUGAUGGCAACAGUGCUGACCCCCAGGCUGGGCUGAGUUCAGUCCCACAUGUGUUUAGUACAGCACCCAGUGUCUUGGCCUGAAUCCCUGAUUCUCCAGGGCUCUGACGGCGAUGCAUCCCCUUCUCACGAGGCCCCUGGGUGCCCCCAGUCAAGGACUGGCUUUCCUGCUCUUUCCUCAGAGCACGUGAGGAUUCCCUGUCAGGACCGUCCCCCACCCUGUUGUGGUGGCUUUGGAUAAGGUACGUCAUAGGAUGCACCUGGGGCUGAGGCCCCACCAUCCCCAGCUCCUCCUGUGGGGCCGGAAUGACUGAGCGUCCUCCUGCCUCGCAGGCUCGGUGUCCUUUUGCACCCUGUGGUGAAUCCCAGAUCCCGCUGGGCGUGGCGGAGUCUCAGGUGACCCUGCGCAACUUGCUGGCUGGGCAGCCCUCAGCACGUUUCCUUAUCUGUCCUUGACGCCGGCUCCACCCGUGAAUAACAGUGAGACUGCUAAAUGAGGAAACAUGCUGGUCUUUGGGAGUGGCAGUGUAGGGGACUUUGGGGCAUGUGUCCCAUUUUAUACUCAAGGUCACGUGGUUCCCGAGGCUCUGGGUGGGUAGCACCCAGUGUCUGGAGGGAAGGAGGCUUGGGCGAAGACAGCUAAAUGCCUGGUGUGGGGACUGCCCAAAGAGAUGGGCAGCGUCCAGUCAUGUGACCUUUGGAGACCAUGUUACCAUGUCAUGUUUUGGUGGACAAUGAGCGUGUCACCGCGACAAGAGGGGCACAAGACUGUGUAAAGAAAAAGCCACUGCCUGUCCCUCCCUCCACAGAGACCCCAGCUGCAUGGAGUGGGUGAAGCUGCACAUCACCUGCAGAUCACCGGGGUCUGUGUUCACUGGGGGUUUCAAGGGGCCUGAGAUUUCUGCACUGAGUACUCAUGACCUUUGUAAGGAGAGGAUGCAGGAUUUUUUUUUUUUUUUCCUGGCUGGGAACUGGCAGGGAAGUAAGGGCAGCUCUUCCCCAGCACCUGGGCCUCAGGCUGGGAGCAGGGUGGGCACAGGUGUGAGAGAUCAGGGUGUGUGUGCCAUGGGUGCAGCCAGAUGCAGGUGCCCCCCUGCCCCACCCCAGGGCUUUGGGAGCUGCCCUUUGCCCGUGAACAUCCCUGUGUGGGAGCUUGGGUUUUGUUCCCUUUCUCCUUGGUUUUUCUGAGAAGGGGUACGUUGGGGAGCUGGGGGUGGGAGGGCGGAUCGCCCAGAGCCCUGCAGGUGCUCUCCAGUGCUGGCAAAUUCCCUCUUGUCCCCUUAUCAGCUCCUUCCAGAGGUGACAGCCAUCUGUGUGGUGGCAGCUCUCUCCUGCUCCCAUGAGGUCUCCUUUUUCUUCUCUUUUCCUGGAUUUGACUUCUUAACUGAACAGAAAAAUAUAUAGGCAUGGACAGUUUUGUAGUAGUGUUUGGAGAAUAGGCCUUAACAAUAUAAUUAUUCAAUUCAUGAUUUCAUUGUUCAAACUGCCCAAUCUCAUUGCAUUACGGCCAGUUCUUUGUCGUACCUUGGAAUUUGUGUGUGUGUGUGUGUGUGUGUGUGUGUGUGUGUGUGUGUUUUGUCCUCUGUGUUUGUUUGUUUGUUUCCUUUUGAUGCAUAUAAUGUAAUAUUCUUGGUGAAGGCCAUACCUCCCCUUUCUGCAGGUGUGAGUGGGAGGGCUGCAGGUUGCGGAGUGAGACCUGAGGCUACACUGCUGGCCCCUGCAGUUUUACCAGAAGCUCAAGGAUAGGAUGGUUGUAGGAGCUCACCGACUUAGCAAAGAAGUACUGAACCCGCAGGGUGUCUCAGCUUGGACAGACUUUGGAGCUGAAUAAGACCUGAUCCUUGUCCCCACCUGGGACAGCUGGCUGCUACUGCCUCUGUCCUCAGAAAGCAAUCCAAGAGCUCUCUGAGCUGGCAGUGCAGAGGUACGGAGCUUGCUGUUUAUGCAGACCUUCUCUGGAGAGGUGAGCAUUGAUCCUGGUAGGCAGCGUACCAGAGCUAGCAAAUGAACCGCCUGAGGAAAUGUCCCCAAGCUGUGGCCUCUCAUAGGUCACCCAGACAUCAGAGUGUGAAGCAAAAGUGCUUUGCUUCUCCCACCUCUGCCCCACCUGUAGCCACAUGAAAAGAGUGGUUCUGGAAGUCCCUGGUGUAACUUUGGUGUAGCACAUGGGCUGUGGGCUCUGUGUGCACACUCGAGACCCAGCGCAAGUCACCACUGCCAUGGAGUCACCUGUGGACCCAGGGGCUGGGCUAGUCAGAGCAGUAGAUGGGAUGAGGAUCUGGGGGCCUUGAGUGGAGGGGCAGCUCUCAGUGAGAAGAGGGUGCCUUUGGCUGCAUCUGCCCCUGGAAGGGAGCCAGGAACCAACCCCUCUACAGUGGAGAUGCUGAUGGGUGGCCUCGUCCUGGAGAAGGGGCCAGGAUGGAAAGGACGGACCUCCAGGAACAGCCAGCGCCCUGGCUUCCUGACAGGCAGCUCCCAGGUGGGGAGAAGGGCUUGUUUGACACAGGUGUGAGGUUUGCAGAUACAGGGUGAUGAGGUGGGGCCAGUAUUCAGAAUGCAGAACCUGACCCUCCACCAUCACGGACCAUCCGUUUGUGAGCAGCACAUGCAGCUGUGGGGCCGUGUUGGAGCACAGGGUGGGUGUGAGUGAGCGUGUGAGACUGUGCGUGAGUGUGAGUGUGAGAAUGAGUGUGAGACUGUGUGAGGCUGUCUGUGAGUGUACAAGACUGAGACUGAAUGUGAGUGUGACAAUGUGUGUAUCAUGAAAAACACUGUGAGAGACUGCACGUGUGUGAGUGCCAGUGAGUAUAGUGUAAGUAUAUGAGAAAGUGUGAGAGCAUGAGUGUGUGUGUCUGCUUGUGACUGUUGUGUGAAUGUGGGUGAGAGUGUUAGUGCAAGGGUGUGUGAGUGUAAGAGUGUGUGAGAGACUAAGAGUGUGAAGUAUGCAGGUGUGUGUGACGUGGGUGUAAGAGUGUGUGUGCAAAUGCAUGAGUGGCUGAGUCUGCAUGAGUGUUAUGAGAAAAUGUGUGUAAGAGACCACGUGAGAGUGAGUGUUCAUACAUGUGUCUGCAAGUGUGUGGGUGUGAAAAAGUGCCGGAGACUGGGAGCACAUGAGAGUUUGACUGUGUGCAUGUGAGUAUGUGGGUGUGUUCCUGUGAGAGAGGUGCGGGGUGUGUGGGAGGGGCAGCUCCAGUCUCCAGGGAGCACUCCUAGCGUGGUCCAUUCUUCACGGACAGGAGCCCGUUUUGUAACCCCACUCUGAGCUUAGUUCCUGCUCGCUGUUGCACCCGUGCCCUAGGGCCUUCCUUGGUUCUUUCUUGCACACAGCAGACAUAGGUGCCGUGGCCUGGCUUCCAUUGCCAUCUCUGCCCUAGACGUUGUGCACGGGUUAAAGGGAGGCAGCGCCUGGUGGAACGUCCUGGGCUUGGAUGUGGCACCGGAGCCUUGACUGGAUUCUGUUCCACUACUGGGCUUCCUGGGCAUCUACCUUGGACCUAGCGUGGAGUCUCACGUUCAAGUUGUCUUGCCUGAAGAAGACAGCUAGUGGGCCUGCCUUGGGUCUCUGUUGAACAAUUAAAGGAGCACCGAGAUCCCCUCUGUUGAAUAAUUAAAGAAGGGAGAGAGAGACCCCUGCUGCAGGACGCCUUGCAUUGUAACCUCUGGGAAGCAUAAGCCCUGCUCGCUAUAAAUGAGAAUGUCACUUCCACAUCUCCUCUGAGCAUAUUGGUCCAGAAAACUACCUCCCACAUUAAUUUUCAUAUGGCUAUCAGACAUGGGAGAUUUAUCAGAGAGAAGGAAAAGUGUAAGGAUCAAACACGUGAGUUUGGGAGAAUACAGGAACUAAUACUAAUGCAAAAUUAGAACGGGAUUUAGGGAAAUUCAGUACAGCAGCACAGAGUACUACAAAAUAAAAGAAGCUUUGUUCCUCUCGAAGGUAAUCUGUGUGUUGUUUCCCUAAUUUUAAAAAGUAAUACAUAUUACUGGCGAAAACCCUGAAAGAUAGAAACAUUUCCGAAAAAAUAUGAAUGGUGCCUAGAAUUACACAACCCAGAGAGAAGCUCUUAUGAGCAUUUUAGGACAUUUUCUUAGUUUUUAAAAUAAAAAUGAAACCACACUACACAUGCA